rnacentral:lncRNA from 1 species
GAUGUGUUUGAGCUUUUAAUUUUGACAUUAGAUAAUAGAUUUUUCUUUUCUAAUUUGCCUUAGAGUUUGUUAUUUUUUGUUAGUUUUUUUAGGGGAAAAGGGGGGGGGGGUAACAUUGGUAAGGCUUUAACUUGGUAAACUUUUUUUUUUAAAUUUCGUGCGUGUAAAUCUUUUUUGUAUAUUAUUCAAACAUAUCCGCCGUUUGUUGGUGGGGAUAAAAUAUACAAAUACCAUUAAUAUUAAGCGACGAUUGACAGCUGAAUGACUAUGUGGUGGUUUCUAUAAUCAAUUGGUGAAUUCAAAAAAGCAGACAAAAUGCCUACUACAGCAUGAUCUCUUCAUGAUGUUUAAAAAAGAUUAACUGAAAAAGAAAGUUAUGUCAGAAAUACAAAUUAUGUUUGUCUAACAUUGUUGGCGGGUUUUUUUUCCGAUUUACUUUAAUAUGAACGCUUUAAAAUGAUACAAGCUCAAUCGUAUCAACACUUUACGAAAUACAUUACGAAAAGGGACCCGAAGGUGAUCAAAUAAAUGUUUAUUUAAAUUAUUUUUAAAUUUAUUAACAGAGAAUUAAAAAAAAUGUAUGUAAUAUUUCAUUCAUAUAUCUUAAUGCUACAAUCCCUUUUCUGUAUAUAUUCUAAGGAAUUUGUUAUUUUUACAAAUCAUGUGGUUUAAGGAAAAUAAGAUUAUAAACUAAAAAUGACAGAUAAGUUCAUACUUUGGAGUAAAUAUUGUAAAAGAAUACAAUUACAAUAACAAUGAUAGGGCUCUGAACUUGUUACGUUUUCAAACAACAGAUAAUGCAAAAAUGGAUAGCUUAUACAAAUUCAAAUCCUUAUAAUAUACAUAGAGGGUAAACUUUAUGAUACAAUUUGAAAAUCAGAUAUGAGUAAAUAGCUGAAGCAUCAAUAACUUGAAGAAUCUAACAGGAACUAAUGGGUCAUCUCACGUUUCCUUUCAUUAACAUGAAAUUUAAACAAAUAACUUUAGAUCCGUUUAUGAACUAAAGAAUGUAUGAGUUGUCUCACUUACACAAAGUUAAUCAAAGGAAACCAUGCAAAAAUGUAUCUGUUUAUAAAAAUAUCAUUACUUUCAAAAUAGCAUAAAUUUGUUUAUCUAAAUGAAAAUUUCUACUUGCAAAUGGCAUUCCUGCAACAACUUUGUUAGUGAAUUCUACUAUUUUUAAACCAAAAUGACUGACGACUUCAAGGCCACAUAAAAACAAAAGAUACGAAUGAAAAGUAUGCCUAGCUGUACUGUAAAUAAGAUAAGAGGGACGAAAGUGAUAGAGGGACAGUCAAACUCAUAAAUCUAAAAUAAACUGACAACAACAUGGCUAAAAACGAAAAAGUCAAACAGACAUAUUGUGCUCCUGACGAGAAUCAAAUUUAUAAUUAUUUUCAGUAGUAAUGACUUCAAAUGAUAACGUUGAUGGAAGAUAUAUAUAAAGCAUGUGGAAAUUCCAAAUAUUGAUUCACAAAGUAUAUAUUACACACAUUACACUACUG